rnacentral:rRNA from 1 species
UACGAAGGGGGCUAGCGUUGUUCGGAAUUACUGGGCGUAAAGCGCACGUAGGCGGACAUUUAAGUCAGGGGUGAAAUCCCGGGGCUCAACCCCGGAACUGCCUUUGAUACUGGGUGUCUAGAGUAUGGAAGAGGUGAGUGGAAUUCCGAGUGUAAAGGUGAAAUUCGUAGAUAUUCGGAGGAACACCAGUGGCGAAGGCGGCUCACUGGUCCAUUACUGACGCUGAGGUGCGAAAGCGUGGGGAGCGAACAGG